rnacentral:tRNA from 1 species
UCCCUGGUGGCUCAGAGGUUAAAGCAUCUGCCUGCAAUGCAGGAGACCUGGGUUUGAUUCCUGGCUUGGGAA